CUCGCCCCCCCGGAGCCGACAAAUGGCCGCGGCGGCCUCAGGUCCGGCGUCACUCAGACAAGGGGGCGGGUGGAGGAGGAAGCGGCCAAGUCCACAGUCCUGCUCCCGUGCCGCCGAGCACCGCCCACCUCAGCUGACCAGCCCUGUCCGCUACUAGGCCUCGCCUAGAGGAGGGAAAGGCCGUGGCGUCCGCUCCCUCCGCGGCUCAUGGCGACGACGCUUGGCACAUCCGGGACCCUCAGGCCGCUGCAGUCGCGUCGCCGGCUGCUCGGGCCCCAGCCCCGGCCGCUGUGGUGACUCCGCCGCGCCUCGCCGUCGCCCCCGUCCCGCCCGCCGCCCCAGCCGCCAGGGACAUGUCUAACCUCGGAGGCCGUAGGAACGGGCCUGUCGAAGUGCGCCUGACAGGGACAUGCCACCCCCGUUUUAGGAGAACUUGUAUUUGGUUUGAGAAGGAAUUGGAAUCACGGCGUUAUCCUACCUUCACCAUUUACCCCUGAUAAAUUGUCCACGUUUAUAUUUGGAGUCUCAUUCUAUUGCCCAUGCUGGAGUGCAGUGGCAACAGCGUGCAGUGAGUGAUCCCGGCUCUCUGCAGCUUUGACCUCCUGGCUCAAGUGCUUUUCCCACCUUGGCUUCCCAAGUAGCUGGGACUACAGGAAUCAUAUUGACAGGUCAUGAAAAUGAGACCAAAAGAUCUCUGGAAGCGAUUAAUGAUAAAAUUUCAUGGAGAAGAAGGCCUUGACUACGGAGGGGUUGCCAGGGUGAUGACAACUCCGUGAGGGUGGAGAUUAUACAUCUCUCAUCAUUUCAGCAACAAGGAAAUAAAUUAGUGGCAGAGUAAGGGUGACUUGAGAUCUCUUGGAAGCGAGGAUCCUUUAAAAAUCCUGGAAUAUACACUGCAGUAAAAGAACAAAGCAUACCUCAGCCUUAAACGACUGAAGAAGAAUGUCAAGUGGGGAAGUGGCUUUGGUUUUCAGUUUGUGGGUUCUGAAUCCACACAAAGACAGGAUUGCUUUCUGAAAACCUGAAUUAAUUAUUGUCCUUACCUCAAUAAGACAAAAAAUUAGAAUCAAAAUCGUUAGUAUUACAGUCACAGAUAUCACCAAGAUUAGUUUGUUGUUAUAGCCAUAUCCUGGAACUUCUUUCGUGAGCUAAAAAAAAAAAAAAAGAAAAAAGGAAAGAACAAUUAAAAAAAGAGUGAAAGCUAACUUUUCAAAACCCCAGUAUUCUAGUUGAGUAGCUUACAGGUUCUUUUUUUUUUUUUUUUGAGACAGGGUCUCACUCUGUCACCCAGGCUGGAGUACAGUGGUGUGAUCACAGUUCACUGCAGACUCGACCUCCCUGGGCUCAGGUGAUCCUCCCACCUCAGCCUCUAGAGUAGCUGGAAUUAUAGGCACAAGUCACCACACCCAACUAAUUUUUGUAUUUUUUGUGAAGAUAGGGUUUCACUAUAUUGGUCAAGCUGGUCUCAAACUCCUCUGACUUCAAGUGAUCUACCCACCUCGGCCUCCCAAAGUGCUGGGUUUACAGGCGUGAGCUACCAUGCCCAGCCUACAGUUCAUCCUGUGCACUAAUCUGUUUCACUCUCUAAAUGAACAAAGUGGGAGAUCACUGUCAUGGCCAAAGUUACAUGGCCAAGACAAACUAUGGCCUGGGAGUCCCAGGUUCUCCUGUGUGGGCACUUUCCUGGCAUAUGCUAAAUGAUGGGAAAGUCUGGGUCUCAUGUUUCUGUGUGGUCCUCACCUCACUCGACUUCUGCUCUUUCUGUUCACUCUGGGCUUCUGUGCUUUCAUUAAUAUAGUUCUUAGUUUUCCACUGGUCUGUAUCCCAUUCUGCCUUGGACGCCUUUACUUCCUGCUGCUCACUGAGAAGCCUCAUCAGGAGGCCUGUCCUGGAGAUGAGCUUGGCACAGGUCACUUGCACAUAGGUCUCGGAGCAGUCCGUCUUCAAGGUCCAGAUAACAUGAGAAAUGAAGCUUCUCACAUCGUUGUUGGGGAUGACGGACUGUAGUUGAUGGGUUAGCGGAAUUUCAAACUGAUCACCUGGGGAUGAGAGCAAUGGGUAACUGAAGCUUUUGGGCUCGGGGGACAGGUCAGUGCCCACGUUGUUGUAUUCCCAUUUUGUCUCAGUUUGUUUAACAGUUGGCUCUAAGUUGAAUGCAGUCCUAGUGGGAAUCUGCCUCAGGAAGAUGAUUGUAGUUUGUGUUUUCAGAGAUGGUGCCUUCUGGCAUAGUAGUGUUUUCCAUAAAAACGUUUUCUUCAGAGGCAUUUCUUGCAGUUGUGUUUUUUACAGUAGUGUUUUCUAUAAAACAUUCUGAAGGAGCAAAUACUUCUGGAAAAGGGUUUUCUUGAGGACUCAGGUCUCCUGAGGAUGAAAAAGCCCCUUGUGAAGGGGAAUUUAUGAGGCUCUUCACUGCAGAGAACGGCGGCCUCUUUGCGAGCAUCAGUCUAUUGAGAUAACUUUUCUUUCUCAAUUUUCUAAUCUUUUUGGCCUUGGGUGUUCUGUGGGCCACACGGGAGUGAGUUUUAUGAAAGUGGUAUUUUUUUCUGGAAUGUACUACUCGUUUAGCAGCCUUCAUAUUUUUUAACUCUAGCCUUUGCAUUUUCUAAAAUUAAAAUGGUGUAGGCUAAGUCUUUCAAUCUGUCUAUGACCUGAGGUAGGGCUUUUGCAGUUGUGGAAGGCAGAAGGCAUGCCCAUGGAGAAGGGUUUCAGCAAAGAGGAGACUGUUGGCUUCUGCUCUUGGGUGAAUGAAGGCUUGGUGUAGACGGCGUUUCCCGCUACGUUCUCGGGCCCCUGCACUAUGUGAGGCUAUUCCAGCUCCCUUGGGGCUGGACUCCCGAGCCUUUUUUCUUUGGCAGCAUUCUCCCCAAAUGCCUGGGCACCCUGUUCCCUCCUGAUACUCUGCUUUCCCACCGCUUUGAAGGGCCUUUUCUGGAUGCUCCUUGGGCCCAUGAGGACUCUGUUCACUCUCUGCAGGUUUUUGCCUACACUUUGAACCUUUGCCAGGCUGUUUUCCUGUGGUUGGACAGUUUCUAAUUUCUUUUCAAAUAUUUGGCAUUUAAAUUUGUUACCUAGAAGGCUGGACUGCAUAAGCAUGGCAGUUUUUUCUUCCCUUUUAACUUCAUCGAUUUUUUUCUUGUAUUUCUGCAUCUAACAUCUUUUCUAGCAAAUACACCUUUCUCAAUUUAUUUUCAUAAGUUGAAUUGUUGGAUGCAGGUUGAAACAAGGGGCUCUUUGUAUUGUUUUUCAAAACAGGAGCUUAUCUCCAUCUUGCACAUUUGAAAAAAGCAGUUUAAUGAAUGGUAACAACAUUGAUUCCGCAUCUAGAUUUCCUGCUGAGAAAUAAGGCAAGAUGUAAUUUAGCGCAGUGAUAACAUCACUCUUAUCAUAAGUGUCUAGCUGCUCACUCCCAAAGACUGACAAGUUGAUGCCACUGCUGUCUGAGGCUGCCUCCGGCUCAGUAGUCAGCUCAAUGCUCAUGUGCUUCUUCUGGGCUUGUAACACCUUCAUGAACACUCUUUCUGGAUUCCCUACAGAUGCUUCUUCACCUGUCAAAAAAAAGAGACUGCUUUGAUCAUGAAAGAUAAUGGAACGGCAUGCAUCAGUCCACAGCUGUAUGCCCCAGUCACACAAAGUAGGAGUCAGCAAACAUUAGAGUGCCAUUCAGAGAGGAGAAACACACACCCAAGCCUAAAUCUAUGAAAUGGCAACAACAAAAGGAGGAAAAGACAUCUUUUGAAAAUAUGGCUACUUACUUGGAACAUUCCUAGUGUGACAUAGAGUAACUCUGCUUAGGAUUAUUUCGUUGAUCCCCAGGGGCCAAUUGCCCAGUGCUCAGUCAAAGCCCAAGGUGGAAGACAAGUGCUUCCCUGAUGAGCUGUCCUCUCUGCAGACUGCUCCGUACCCUGUGCUGUCCUGCCUCAGAUGCAGAGAGAGCACAAGCCUCCCUCCUCAUCCUCAGUGUGCCUGUGUUCUUACUACCAUCACAGCUGAAUGCAAUGAAAGGCUAUCCUCUGAGAGGAGCAGGGUGGAGAUGCUAAAGUGGAGGCCCCCUCCCAUUGCUGAUAGAUCCUCAUCUGGCAUGCACUCCACCCACCCACCCCAUUCUCUGCUACCACAUAUCGUAGCCCCAUUAAAGAAGAAGUGACAUGGAAAAAACACUGUGCCCACCCUAGUCCUUUUCUUAAAUUUGGGCAGAGAUCCAGGGUAUAGGUUAAGAGAUUUUUAAUUUGCCAGAUGGUAUGCCUAUGUUGUUAAAUAUACAAUGAAUCUAUGGUAUGAUAGCAGUUUCUGGAUAAACAUUACUUGAGGUCCUAAAAUGCAGAAGGGAAAAAGCAGCUUUUGUCAGAUGCUUACUUUGCUUUCAUUUCAUCUCUAAUAUUUUGGAUGGGGAACCAUCCAAAGCUUCUGGCCGCAUGAAGGUCAAGUGUGCCAGUGUGCAGCUGGGUUUCUUUUCCAGAAUUAAAAGUAUUUUGGGUGGUGCUGAGGGUCAGAGGAAGAAGUAAAAAUUGUGAGAAAGGAGAAACAUGGGCUUGGGGAGAACCCAGAAUUGGGGACAGAAGACCUGGCACUAAGCUAUAGCACUUAGCACCUCUGAUCUUGUUUUUCCUCGUCCGUAAAAGGAGAUUAACAAUGCUUUUCUGCCCACCUCUUGGGGAGAAGGGAAUAAUUUAGUUGGUAAAAAAAAAACUUUUGAAUAAUAAGCAACUCUGUCUUUAUAUAAGUAGCCAAGCAUUAUUAAUUAUCCACCCCAUAUCACUGGUAGAUACCUGUAUUCAAGCUAUGUGGACAUAAAAGCAGUCACAUUUUAGAAGUCAUGAAGUUGGUGCUAAUAAACCUAAUCUACAGAAAAACUCUUGAAAGCACUUGAGCAUUUGUUCUGUGAAUAGAAAGGUUUGAGAUUCAGAGCAAGUUCAGAGUUGGAUGGUCUAAGAAUGGAAAAGCCCUCCAUUCCAUUAGAAGAGCCAGGGAGCAAUUUCUGGUUAUGGAACCAGAAGCUCUCAGGCUUCAAAUAAAACAGCAUCACUUGUACUCUUAUAAAAUUGUAAAAACAAAAACAAAACUGGAUCUACAUUUGUCCUAAAAGGCAGAGAGUACUUGAGACCUCAUGCAUAUAAAACCAGCUUACAAACUACAUCGCACUAUAUGAAGAAAUUAUCACUGGGGGCAAAUCACCAAGUAGGGAGCACAAUACACAGGGUGUGGAUGUUAAUGUCAUUCCCUAGCCUUCUCAUUCCCUUCUCUUGGUCCUUUAUGCAUAUGGAACAGUUCCAUUAUUAAAUUUUGUAAUAAUAACUGAGAACCUGACUCCCAGCAAGGGAGUAGUUCAGAAGUUGAGGGAGUUUAAAUCUGAAUGAGUAAAUAAAGCAAUUAUAUCAUUAGCUUAAAAUUUUAUCAUCAAUUAAAAAUAAAUUUAAAAACAAAUACUUAAAAUAAUGUAACAAUUUAUCACCAGGCAAUUUGGACUCACGACAAUGUGUGGUGUUUGUCAGACAUGCACUGUUGCAAUGCAGCUUGACUGUCUUGCAGACAGCCUCAAUGCUAUUUUUAAAUUGGCAGAGGCAGCAGGCCAUAUGGCUAGGUAAGAUCCUAUAAGAUGAAAACACAAAACAAUAAAUAGUGGUAAAGCAGUUACUUGAGUAGGCAAAGGAGGCAGGCCAACGCUACCACAGGGCUGGGCAGAAAGGUGUUACUGAGGCCUGUGGACUGGACAGUUGGGUAGGAACCAGAAGGGCAAUGGGAAGGAGGACAAAGGUGCCCAACUGAAGGGUAAGCAUGGCAGUGAGUAUGGUAUGCCUAGAAUAAAAGUGGUUGGGAUUAGAAUUGGGUGACACUGAUCAGUAGUUUAAUUCAGAAGUAUCUCUUCCCAACUCAAAAGUCUCACUUUGGGCUGAAAGUACACAGGAAGAAAGUAGACUUCUAAGAAGAGUCUGAAUAAGCCCCCAACUUCUGGAGUCCCUUUCUCAAUUUCUGUUGGCAGUGGGAAAUAUUAGAAAUUACUCUGGGCAUUAAAAAUAGCUCAGUUUAACCUGGAUUGUGGGGUUAAAAAAAUAACAGAUUGCAUUGGCCAAAUCUCGACAAUUUGAGCAUUCAAAAGAGUAACAAUAAGCUACAACAUAAUUAAUAUAUAAAAAAGAAUCCAUGAAGAAUGAUAUUUAAAAAGAGAGGGAGUUGUUCUUUAAUGAAAUAAUGCCAGCUAAUGAAUGUAGAAGGAAUGACAGAAUUUUAAAAAGUGUUACUUUGCAACCACCAAUGUAAUAAAAAUUGAUUCAGACAAGGAUUGUCAUUGAUGGACACAGCUGGGUGAGAAGACAUUUGAGAACAGGAUCUUUACUGAUCUCAAAGUACCACCACACAGAUAUUUUAUUAAUUACCAAAGGGAAAAAUUAUUUUUUAUUUUUUUAUGAGACAAAGUCUCACUCUGUCACCCAGGCUGAAAUACAGUGGCAAAAUCGUAGCUCACAACAGCCUCGACCCCCACCCUGGGCUCAAGUGAGUCUCCAAAUUCAGCCCCCCAAGUAUAUGGGACUAUAGUCUUGUACCACCACACCCAGCUAAUUUUUUUUUUUUUUUUUUUUUUUUUUUGUAUUUUUAGUAGAGACAGGGUUUCACCUUGUUGCUCAGGCUGGUCUAAAACUCCUGGACUCAAGCGAUCUGCCCGUCUCGGCCUUCCAAAGUGCUGGGAUUAUAAGCAUGAGCCACCACACCCAGCAAAAUAACUACAAUGGAGAGAUCUGGAAGAUCACCUUAAACAAGUGAUCAAACUUAGCAUUAUGAGCCACCUGCAAUCACGAGGCAGGAAGGAUAUAUCACCUAUGCAGUAUUUUUCCCAAAAAUGCUUACCUUGAAUCUCAUCAUGUGGAAACAGACAAAUCCAGAUUAUGGGACAAUUUACAAAACAACUAUCUUUGACUCUUAAAAAAUGCCAUGUCAUGAAAGAUCAAAAAAAGUAGAGGAAUGUUUUAGAUUAAAGGAAAUGAAGACAUGACAUGCAGUGCCUAAUCUUUGAUUGGAUUCUGUGCUAUUCUUUCAUCUUUCUGGUAUGUUUGAAUUUUUUUUGAAAUAUAAACUUGGGCAAAAGAGAUAACCAAGAUAAUUGAUUAAUUUAUUGUUAUGGCUCAUUGGGGGCAGUUUCAGAGAAAUAAAAACAAUCUUUGUAACUGGAGUAAAUUCUCAAGGUUAAUCUUAAGCAAUAUAGCAUGGUCAUUAAGAAUACAGAUUCCACAGCCAGACUAGGCUUAAAUCCCAGCUCUGUGAAUAAUGUGAAUUUGGGCACAUUGAUUAAUCUCUGUUCCUUGGCCUUGUCAUUAUAAUAGUACCUACCUCUAAUGAGUUUUGAGGAUUAGAUGAAUCAGUACCUGAAAAAUGCCUGACACACAGUGAGUGCUCAAUAAAUGUUAACUACUGUAAUUAUUACAUUACAGAGGUUGUGGGGGGGCCUUUUCUGAGUCCUCCAAAAGGAUGACUUUAUUAGGGCCACAUUAAGACUGUGGAAACAGAAGAGUAUUCAACAGAUAAAUGAAGUCUAUGAGUUGGGGGUACAAUUUAUGGAGUUUUAGAUUAAAACUGCAUCCAAUAAGUUGGUCUGACACAUCUUUCAAACCUAUAGAGGAAUAAUCACAAGUGACUAGUAUUCCUUUGGGUCCAAUAGAGGUCUCUGAUCUUCAUACAGAUUGAAUGUACCCAGAACCGUAACCUAGCAUUUUACUUAUAUAGCAACCUUAACUCUGACACAAAAGUGUUUCUUUUGUUUUGAGGCCAAGUCUCACUCUGUUACACAGGCUGAGUGCAGUGGUGCAAUCUCACUUCACUGCAGCCUCUGCCUCCUGGGCUCAAAUGAUCCUCCCACCUCAGCCUCCUGAGUAGCUAGAACUACAGGUGAGUGCCACCAUGCCUGGCUCAUUUUUGUAUUUUUUGUAGAGAUGGGGUUUCACCAUGUUGCCCAGGCUGGUCUCAAACUCCUGAGCUCAAGCAACCCUCUCUCCUUGGCCUCCCAAAGUGCUGGGAUUACAGGCAUGAGCCUGAAGUUUAAUUGUUAUUCUUUUCCUGCCCCCGACUUUUGAUUUUAAACAUUUUCUUUUUUUCCUUUAAGCCUUAGGAUGGCUAGGAAGCAUUUUCAGAUGGUAUAAUGAACACCUGUAUAACUUUCAUCUGGAAUCAACAGUUGCUAAUACUUUGCCACAUUUGCUUUCCAUGUGUGUAUGUCUAUACAUUUUCUGGACAAACCAUUUGAGAGUCAGUUGCAGACAAAAUGACCCUUUGCCAUUAAAGACUUCAGUGUGCAGCCCCUAAGAAGCAAGGCAUUCUCCUGCAUAACCAGAGGACUAUCAUCACCCAAUGGAACUUCAUAUUAUCAUUGUCUACUAUGCAGCCCAUAUACACAUUUUCACAAUUGUCCCAAUCAUAACAUGGCUUAAAAAAUUCAGAAUCCAAUCCAACAUCAGACAUUGCAUUUAGCGUUCAUGAUUUUUUUUUUUUUUUUUGUAGAAAGACCUUUAAUACUUCUGUUUACAAAAUUCAGGCAUACAUUUCAGUUUGCCCUGAACCGUGCCCAAGGCUGUGUGCUCAUCUCUGCCAGGAUGUCUGUGCCCUCAUGUACUGCUGACGUGGAGGGUGCAGAGCAGAGCCUGGGGUCUGGAGGCUUCGCUGGGCCUCAGGGGGAGGGGAAUGUGAAUGUGGCCCGGCCCAGAGGACCCUCCAUUUCAUCAGUUUUGGAUUGGGCAACAGAGGAAGCAGAUGUCUGGGCUGCAGACCUGCUGGUCUGGGCAGGGGUUUGGGAACCCCGGGGUUGCCUGCCAUGGUCUAGAGGAGAUGGCUGCGGCUACUUCCCACAGGGUGGGGUGGCCACUAGGGGCUUGAAGAUUUGCUCACUGGAGCCUUUGUGCUUGGCCCUCAGCAGCACAGCUGGGGCUGUGGUCCCGUGCAAGGUGUGCUGAGGGUUGUGUAGGUGGCUGGUGGUGGCAGCUUGUGCCAGAGUGACACAGGCUUCUGUGGGCCUGGCUGGGGGCAGUUAAAAAGCCGAAAAGGUACUUGGCUUUGUGAGGGCAAGGCUUGGGAGGCGGGGCCCUGCAGGACGUCAUGUUCUCUGUCCUGGUUAGGAGGGGGGAGGUGUUGGGGGGGGGAAGGUGGGGCAGAUCCCAACUGGCCCCUGUCCCUGGGCUGCAAGCUGACAGCAGGCCAGGGAAGCAGUGAGGCCUUCUGCCCUGGCCUUGGGGAGAAGGAGUGCAUGUGUGAGGCUGGGAUACAGUGGCCCUGGAGUGGGGCUAGGGCUCAUCGCCAGCACCAGGCGCGGGGAGGAUUUAAAACCAGAGUCCUGUCUCUGAGCCACCCCACAGGGACGCUUGAUCCAAGCCUGUUAAGGCCGUGGAACUCGAGGGUAGGCAGUGGGCUGGGCCACCGUGGGUUCAGGAUGGAGGUGUGGGGGCUGCCCUGGAGGAACGUUAGUGUUUCUGAGAGCACCUUAGUGUUGCUCUGCCUCAGCCAGCUGGGCAAGGAGUUGGGGAGCGGGGAGGAGGCCGGCGCCAUGGAGUGGGGAAGGGAGCCGUCACUGUUGGGGAUCAGCCGCUAGUGUAAACGAGCAUCUCCACCCACCCAGAUAAGCCCCCCACCCAAGUGUGGAGCCCUGCUCAGGGAGUACCUCAAGGGCCCCGGCCUGGGUGGCGCCAGCAGGCUUGGACACUGCCCUGGCAGCAGGGGCCCCGUGGAAGGCAGGAUACCCAGCAGGGGGUGCCACCCAGUGUGGAUGGAGGGGCAGGGCGGGGGCGCCCCUGAGUCACUGGGCAGAGGCACGAGCACGUCCACAUAGCUGAGCAGGAAGAAGCCCGACUGGCCGUCCAGCAUGCCCUCGUAUCAGUUCUCGUUCAUCUGGUUGAUCAGCAUGAAGACAUCGCCCUCAUGGAAGCCCAGCUCCCUAUCUUUCUCCGGCUCCAAGUCAUACAGCCCUUGCAGCUCGGCUGGUCUAGGGGCGGCAUGCUCCUGCUAGGAGUCCAGAUGGACUUGUCGUAAGAUCGGAAAGAGGACGAAGCUGCGAUCUUGGGGACUGUGGUGCAGGGGAAGCCCCGGUUGGACUGCUCAGGCUUUCCGAGGUCAAAGCACUCCCGGGGCUUGGGCUUAUACUCCCGCCUGGGUCGUGAGGAAGCUUCCCGGAUCCUGCACUUGAACUUCUGGGCCAGCUGGUCCAGGAUCUGCACGGCCUGCCGGUGGUAGUCCAGCUGCGCCUCUGCCAAGGCCGGGAGUUGACUCACCUACUGGAUGUCGGUCUCCAGGAGGUUGUGCAUGCUGGUUUCUGCCACCUCCUUGGACUCCUCAAACUUCUCCAGCGCCUGGUGCAGCUCCUCUUCGGGGAUCUUGCCCUGCCGCUUCUUUUAGUCAAAGUCCAGGCGGCGGCCCUCCAGCUUCUGCAGGUGGUGCUGGAUCUCCUUCAGGUCUUUCUCACAUAGGUUCUGGAGGGGGUCAAUGAAGUUAUGCUUGACCUCUAUGUCCAGGGAGUCCUUCACCUCUGCCAGGUGCUUCAUGGGCUCGCCGGCAUCCAGCAGUGCAUCGCUGAAGUUGGACUCGUCGCGCAGCUCCUUCCCAUGGCGGAUCAGGCACUCGCCCAGGAGCCCCCCUGACUGCAGGUAGCCGGGGUUCUUCACCUGGCCCCGGAUCUUGCACGCGGUGUUGAGCAUGGUCAGUUUAGCCUGCGAGGCUGGGUUGGGCUGCGGGUACUCGAUGGUCCUGGACAGUACUUACGUCACCGCCUUGCUGAUGACAUCCACCUUCUCCAUCUCUUCGAAGUCAUCAUCCAGCUUGGUCCCCUCAGCCCCUCCGACCUUCUCACUGACCAGUUGGCUCGCCUUGUAGAACUGCUUCUUCAGCCCGGCAACCGACAUGCUGCCUCCUGCCGCGGAACCUUCCGCCCAGACCCCCCUGCCCAGACCCCGCCAGCGACAGGCUCCCGGGCACCACCAACCCUCUGCGCGCCUCAGCGGCCCCCAUCAGCACCGCCUCCACCACCCGCUUGCCAGCUCGGCGCCCGCCCCGGCGCCGCCUCGAGUUCAUGAUUCUUUAGUCUCCUUCAAUCUAGAUCUGUUCCCAGGAUUGUUUAAAAGCAUACUGACAAACCUUUGAGACUGUAAAUGACCUGAGGUAUACAUUAUCUUUACUUGAGAAUAGUAAUUUUUCAAUAUGCAUUAAAGAUCAUUACACAUGAGCUAAAAAAAAAAAAAAAAAAA
rnacentral:lncRNA from 1 species